AGUGGCGGACGGGUGAGUAACGCGUGGGUAACCUACCUCAUACAGGGGGAUAACAGUUGGAAACGACUGCUAACACCGCAUAACAAGUUGGGACCGCAUGAUCCUAACUUCAAAUAUUUAUAGGGUAUGAGAUGGGCCCGCGUCUGAUUAGCUAGUUGGUGGGGUAAUGGCCUACCAAGGCGACGAUCAGUAGCCGGCUUGAGAGAGUGACCGGCCACAUUGGGACUGAGACACGGCCCAAACUCCUACGGGAGGCAGCAGUGGGGAAUAUUGGACAAUGGGGGGCAACCCUGAUCCAGCGAACCGCCGCGUGAGUGAAGAAGUAUUUCGGUAUGUAAAGCUCUAUCAGCAGGGAAGAUAAUGACAGUACCUGACUAAGAAGCCCCGGCUAACUACGUGCCAGCAGCGGC
rnacentral:rRNA from 1 species